AACGAACGCUGGCGGCGCGUCUUAAGCAUGCAAGUCGAACGGCAAGAGAGGAGCUUGCUUCUCUCCUAGAGUAGCGGACUGGUGAGGAACACGUGGGUAAUCUACCCUUAAGAUGGGGAUAGCUGCUAGAAAUAGCAGGUAAUACCGAAUACACUCGGCAUAUCACAAGAGGUGUUGAGGAAAGGAAGCUACGGCUUCGCUUGAGGAUGAGCUUGCGUCCCAUUAGCUAGUUGGUGAGGUAAAGGCCCACCAAGGCGACGAUGGGUAUCCGGCCUGAGAGGGUGAACGGACACAUUGGGGCUGAGAUACGGCCCAAACUCCUACGGGAGGCAGCAGCUAAGAAUAUUCCGCAAUGGACGGAAGUCUGACGGAGCGACGCCGCGUGGAUGAAGAAGGCUGAAAAGUUGUAAAAUCCUUUUGUUGAUGAAGAAUAAGGGUGAGAGGGAAUGCUCAUCUGAUGACGGUAAUCGACGAAUAAGCCCCGGCUAAUUACGUG
rnacentral:rRNA from 1 species